CUUAGUUUAAUGGAUAUAACGAGCCCCUCCUAAGGGCUAGUUGCAGGUUCGAUUCCAGUAGCUUAU
rnacentral:tRNA from 1 species